CUCUGUUUGUGUUCAGUAUUCUCGGUCCUCGUAUCUUUCUGUUUACAUUCACCAAAACCCCGUGGAAAUCUCACAUGCGUAGGUGCGUUCUAAAAGUCAUCUACGUUCGUAUAACAAAGUUUACAUUAAAAAUUAUAUAAUUGUCCCGAAUAAACAGCUGUCACGGAUACAAAGAGGUAUUGGAGAAACAAUUAUUUUAAUAAAA
rnacentral:lncRNA from 1 species